ensembl:lncRNA novel transcript
GUAGAGGGAAAAGAGAAAAGAAAAGAAGCAAAGAGGAGGGUGGUGGAGGGAAGAGGGGUCAUUGACCAUAAGCGAGGCAUUCUAAUUAAAAGGGAGAACAUACAAGAACUUCAAAUCCUAGCACCUACCCACUACACACUCCCAGUUUCCCCUCUGCCCUACCACCCAUCCUCCUGAUGCUUAUCUUAGAUAAAAAUUCUGAAAUGGGUCAAGCAGGCCCAGCUCGGCACUGAGUACCAGUUCAGGAGACAGCCACCAGGACCCUCAGCUGACAGCAAUUACAGGUCCGAGACAUUUUCCUCUGGCACUGUAUUGUAUUAACUUUUUUUUUUGUUUCCUUUAAAUUACAGGGUGACCUGCUUUCAGUUGGGAAGUUAUAACCAGUGGCCGAAUGAGAACAAUAUUUUCCCUAUAAAAAGAACAGAAGAGCCAAGGAUUCUUCAAAGAUUCCUGGGCACUGAGAAAACAAGUAAAUACAAAAUUUAGCUAUGACAAUUACAGACAGACAUCAACAAAAAUCUUUUUAAAAAGAUAAACUUUCUUCAUUAAAAUAUAAUUUGUUUGAUCUGUAUUUAUAUAUCUGUGCCCUGCUACCGUAUCAUUAAAAAUAUUUGAAGUCGGAUAUACGAUGCAUUAAUUUGGCAGAUUAUCACAUUAUCUAGUUAACUUUAUCUUACAUGUUACCUUCUGGGCCAGUGGUGCUAGGACUCCGAUCAAACUCACUUCACAGUAAAUUAGUUCAUAUUAAGAAAUAUAUCUGCCGCAAAGUCUAUUUGGACCAAAAACAAAAUAGCAAUAAUACAUUGCAGCCGUAAAUAAACACAUAGCAGAUUAACAAGGGCUAAGUGUUGCUCUUGUCUGGCACUGGGAGUUAACAGUAUAUACUUCAUGAUAACUGAAAAAUUGGCAGGAAUUGAGUAUAUGAAAACUACGUAUGAAGACAAGCAAUACAGCUUUUAAUUCUAAUUGUUUACAAAAAUUAUAAAGCAUUGUUGGGAAAUUGUUAAAAUGAUUUGAAUACUACCAAGGGUUUGAAAUAAAACUGAAAAAAACAUCAAAGGUUAUUCAACAAUAAAUUAUUUUACAAUGACAAGAGAAUCCAAAAGCAGCAUCUGAUGUAUCUUAGGAUCCCAAAAUUUCAGGAGCCGUGAACUCUAACUCUAAACAAUGCAUUAUUUAUGGACUUUCCAGUCUUUGCUUAAAUGUCUCUAUUCAUGAGCAUCCCUUACUUCUCCAAAGCAAUCGAACUGCAUUUCACAUCACUCUGAAGGAAACAGAGAGGGAGAAUUCCUCAGCUGGAGUUCAAAUUGGCCUUUCUACAGUUCUUUCCGAAUGGCCCCAGGAUUCUUUUCUGACUUCAUGAGGACAACACUUCAGAUGAGAGAGCUCCUCUGUGUGCAUCCUCCAAGUUUAUCUGCUAAACCAAGAUAAACAUCCCCGGUUCCUCUUUUUAAGUUUUUAAGUGCUGGAGUACAUGUGCAGGAUGUGCAGACUCCUGAGAUUGCCAUAUGAACCCAGCCCAGCCAGCCUACUAGAGAAUGAGAGACCACAUGGGGAAGAGCUUACCAGACUUUCAAAAAUCCCUAUGGCUGGAAAAGGCUUGGAGGUUUCUCUCUCCAUUACGAUUCAUGCACCUGCUUCCUCUUCUGCAACCACCCCUAACUUUCCUGCAG